GCAGUCGAACGCUGAAGCUCCAGCUUGCUGGGGUGGAUGAGUGGCGAACGGGUGAGUAACACGUGAGUAACCUUCCCUUGACUCUGGGAUAAGCCCGGGAAACUGGGUCUAAUACCGGAUACGACUCUCCAUCGCAUGGUGUGGGGGUGGAAAGAUUUAUCGGUCUUGGAUGGACUCGCGGCCUAUCAGCUUGUUGGUGAGGUAAUGGCUUACCAAGGCGACGACGGGUAGCCGGCCUGAGAGGGUGACCGGCCACACUGGGACUGAGACACGGCCCAGACUCCUACGGGAGGCAGCAGUGGGGAAUAUUGCACAAUGGGCGCAAGCCUGAUGCAGCGACGCCGCGUGAGGGAUGACGGCCUUCGGGUUGUAAACCUCUUUCAGUAGGGAAGAAGCGAGAGUGACGGUACCUGCAGAAGAAGCGCCGGCUAACUACGUGCCAGCAGCCGCGGUAAUACGUAGGGCGCGAGCGUUAUCCGGAAUUAUUGGGCGUAAAGAGCUCGUAGGCGGUUUGUCGCGUCUGCCGUGAAAGUCCGGGGCUUAACCCCGGAUCUGCGGUGGGUACGGGCAGACUAGAGUGCAGUAGGGGAGACUGGAAUUCCUGGUGUAGCGGUGAAAUGCGCAGAUAUC
rnacentral:rRNA from 1 species